AGGAAGAGGAGGAGUCAGAGAAGUCACUUGACCAGACGAAGACUCUGGUUCACAGCGCGGUUUCUUCACACACUGUUCGCCAGGAGCUGCUGACCACAGCUGUGAAAUGUCUCACUGUUCGUCCUCUGAGGUCGCAGAUCGACGGAGAAGCUGCAGAGUCGAGAUUUAUUCAGUUCCAGUGUUUCACAAGAGGAAGUGAGGAAGACGAGGAGGAUGAUGAAGACGAGGACGACCACGAGUCCGUGGGACAGAGAGUCUGCAGUGGUGCAUUUAAAGUUGCAGGUUGAUCGACUGAACUUUCAGGGGAAGUCGGACACGGGAGCCCCCCCUCCCCCGCUCAUUUCCCAUGAUGCUCUCUGCUCCACUGGUUUGAAACAGAACAAAGAUGGAGUACAGCACCACGUUCACUUCUCCUGUCAAGACGGUGCCUCCCCUUUGUCUCGUUACAGGCCUGUGUGUGUGUGUGUGUGUGUGUGUGUGUGUUAAUAACCUCUGUGGUUCACCUGAGUCUCUUGAGCCUCAGGACAGGCGUGUGUGUGAAUAAUUUAUAGCGAUAAAGAAAACCCCAGUUCCAUUUCUUUCUCUUCCUCGCUGAGUUUCUGAGCUGGAACCACGUUUUUCCGACCGACAGCCGAGGUGCUUUCAACAGUGAUAUUAUUAUACAUAUAUACACAUAUACGUAUAUAUAUAUAUAUAUAUAUAUAUACGUAUAUGUGUAUAUAUGUAUAUAUAUAUAUAACUCCACCUGAUACCACAAAUCGAGUAUUGGUCAAGCGUGUGCGGGCGGGGCCUCGAUACCUCGAUCUAUCUCAGCCCCUAGAAAUUACAUUUUUCAUACAAGUGAACAGCAGACACAUUUGGAACAUGGCAUCGCUGCAUGUGAACCUCUCUCUGCCACCACCUGCCAUCCUGGAUUCCCCGUUCAUCUCGCUCCGUCAAACCAUGUCAGACAAGUGAUCUCGUGUUGGACUGUGAACGUACAGUACCGGCGGCGUCACCGAGUCGUGAACCAGAUCUGAACCUGGAACAUCACGUCAGCGUGUUCCUCUGGGAGGCGACGGCCCGGAGCAGCAGAGUGUGUGUGUGUGUGUGUGUGUGUGUGAGUGAGUGUGUGUGUGUGUAAGAUGAAAGGGAUGCAGACUGGCCUCAGGCUCCAAUUAAAAAAGAGGCUGAGGUUGCCAUGGCGAUACAGGUGAAGUGAAGUACUUUCUGAAAUACUACUGACGGACAGACAGAAGCGGUUUACACCCGCCAGCAGAGAGAAAACUGCUCUGUGGACGUGUUCUGGUGUUUUGUUCCACUUACGAACAUUUGACUUUCAAACCUGAGAACACUCACGCCUCAAAAACAAACUGUGUCACUCGCGUGUACAGUUUGUUCCAGAUGUUAGGAACGUUCACAGGAGGGAAACCUGCUCAUCACAUCUCCAGCUCCUGGUGAACCGUCACAGAUGGACGGAUCCAUCUGGCUGUCCACAUACUUUUGGCCAUGUGGUGAACUCCGUUAUUAAAGUCCGACUGUUUCUUGCCACACACGCCCCAUAACUCGGUUUGCCAAAAACUAUUUUCAUUACAGAACAUAGACACACACACACACACACACGCACACACGCACACACGCACACACACACACACACACACACACACACACAUACACACACACACUUCUGCUAAUAGUAUCAGGGCCAGCCAGCUGCUCUCUGCUGCAGCAGAGACCCCCUGUGUAGGCCUGUUAAACCUGUGUGUGUGUGUGUGUGUGUGUGUGUGUGUGUGUGUGUGUGUGCGUGUCGUCUCCGCCCUCACACUAAGCAGAUAAAGUCAUCAUAUCCUGAUGAAAAAAGCCAAAUAGGUCACAAAAAAAUCAUGUUUCUCUUCCUUCUACGUGCCCACACUGAUUGUGUGUGUGUGUCAUGAAGAGGCAUACUGUAUAUCAGGGACGAGUGUUUCAUUAUUGCAGCAGCGGGUGUAUUAUAAAUCCAUGGCCGACUGAGGAUCCGUCACGGUGAACUUUGGAGUUUUCAGAAGCGAGAACUUGCAGAGCUGCUGCUUCUCUGGGCGUCGACGCCAGUGUCGUCAGACUCUGUCACCGCCGGAUCCUCGUGUGCUGCACGAGAACGUGACGCUCAGAGUGCAGAGACAAUAUGGAAGAGCAUAGGACAGAGGUGAUGUAUAAUGAAUAAAGGAGAGAUAUUCUGGAUCGACGCCAAAAUGAAUUGAUAUAUUCAUUGGUCCACGUUCCAUUCUUCCACCAAGUUUACUUGAAAUCUGUGUCACAGUUUUGACAUAAUCCUGCUGACAAACAAAAAACAAACAAACAAAACCCGCAACAUUUUCUGCUUUUAUUUUUCUGACAGUCGCCAUGACGCUCGUCAGCGAUGACACGCGACAGCGACGACCCUGUUCCUGUAGCCAGAGCGGGCCGGACGAGCCCCACCCCUGGUUUUGACCUAAUGCUUUGCGACGCACUAUCUCACCUCAUGUUAGAGACGAUGCACGAUGUCUCUCUCUUCGCCGCCCUGAUAAAUAUCGUCUAACGCUUCCAACCGAUGAGUCACGCUGAGGAAAGAAGGGGUCAAGCGUAGGAUCACGCCACAAUCCCACAUACAUGUCAGGGAAUACGUUUCUUGGUUGGACCGAAGCCGCGCCUCGUGUGCAGGGAGUGGUGGGGUCGUGUAGUUUACAGCUCCGGUGUGUCAGCGGGAAGCCGCCGGCAGACUUUAACCUCGCAAGAACGAGACGCAGCCCACAUACUCCACUCUUUGCUCUGUGCACGUGCGAUUGGCUCCCAGCGCGGCGGCGUCUUCCUGCUUUGCAUAUGACUGCAGGCUUCGGGAUCAAAGAGAGGAAGUCGGGAGGCAGACGUCUCCUGCUGCUGUCAGCAGGCCUGCGAGAGGUCUACUGUACAUUGGCACUUCAGACGCUCGGCUGAGGGCCGCUCGCUGGCAGCGCAGCUGGGGGGUCGCGGUGUCACUCGAGGACACGUGGACGGAAGUCGAAGGAGCUGACGGACUCACGCUGACUCCAACUGGCGACCUUUGAG